rnacentral:rRNA from 1 species
GAUUAACGCUGGCGGCGUGCAUAACACAUGCAAGUCGAACGAUGAAACUUAACUGAUUUCUUCGGAAUGAUUUUAAGUGGAUUAGUGGCGGACGGGUGAGUAACGCGUGAGUAACCUGCCUUGGAGAAGGGGAUAGCCUUUGGAAACGAAGAAUAAUACCCUAUGAUAUGAUAAUAUCUCAUGAUAUUAUCAUCAAAGAUUUAUCGCUCUAAGAUGGACUUGCGUCUGAUUAGUUAGUUGGUGAGGUAACAGCUCACCAAGGCAGCGAUCAGUAGCCGGCUUGAGAGAGUGUACGGCCACAUUGGGACUGAGACACGGCCCAGACUCCUACGGGAGGCAGCAGUGGGGAAUUUGGCACAAUGGGGGAAACCCUGAUGCAGCGACGCCGCGUGAUUUAGAAGGCCUUCGGGUUGUAAAAAUCUUUUGUAUGGGAAGAAAAUGACAGUACCAUACGAAUAAGGACCGGCUAAUUACGUG